rnacentral:lncRNA from 1 species
GUGCCUAGUCUCUGCUUCCAAGAUGGAGCCUUAAAUGCUGCAUCCUCUCAAGGGAAGAAACAUUGUUCUCUGUGUGGCAGAAAAGCCAAAGAAGACCAAAAGUGGGUGGCUCCUAUAUCCAGAACAAGUCCUGAUCGGAGUCUGGAGGGAAGAAGACACAGUGGGGAAGGCUACAUGCAGGAGGCGGAGCUUAGAGUGAUGCAGCCACAGCCAAGGAACUCCUGGAGCCAUCAGGAGCUGGAGGAGGGAAGGAAGGACUCUCCCCUGGAGACUUUACAGGGAUUGCAACCCUACAAGCUACACCUUGAUUUUGAACUUCUGGCCCCCAGAACCGUGAGAGAAUAAAUUUCUAUUGUUGUAAACCACCCAGGGUGUAGUAAUUUGUUACGUCAGCUCUACAAAACUAAUUCAUCUCCCCUACUAUAAUUUAAGCUUCUGGAGGGUAGAGAUUUUGUUUCAUUUAUUAUCGUAGUUUCAGUGCAGAGAACACUGCCUGGCAUGUAAAUACUUGUUGAAUGAAUGAGUGAGUGGAAAUAGGAAAAUGAAUCUCCAGCCUACUUUGAAGAUGUAAUUUUUUAAAAAUAGUUUUUAUAGCCAUUAUGAAAUUGCCUGCCCCAGAGGACCAUUUUUUUUUUUCUGGUGUAUCCUCCUUCUGAGACAGUACGUGUGGUGCUUAAGAGCUGAGACUCUGAACUUAGACAGACUUGGAGUAAAACUCCAGCUAUGGAAUCACUGUAAAGUGUGGUAUUGGACAAGUUAAUUAAUACUCCUAAGCCUUAAUUUCUGUAUUUGUUAAAGUAGGCCAUUUGCAUAAGAUUAAAUGAGAUAGUAGAUACACAGUCCACUCAUUGUUUAUUGCUUGACCAUGUAAAUUCAUAGUAAAUUACUGUAAUGAUAAUGAUAAUUACUUAGAAUUUAUAGGGAAUGCCUAAGAUUUUAAAGACUCAAUUAUUCUUUCAUUUUGAAUUCCUUUAAAAUAACAUUCAUUGAUUGUAACAUUUCUUUACUAAGAAUUUCAAUGAAGUAAGCCCUUUCUAUCUACAAAAUACCCUGCUGUAGUAUUUUAGGAUUGCAGAAUUGCUUCUAUGUAACCCAUAUGAGCCAUGACGAUGUCAUACUAAAUAUGGGCACACUGCUGGGAAUUCCAAGUUGUAAAAUGAAAUCAGCUCAACCUGAGCAGCCUGCCUUGCACCCUGUCUCUUGCUUGCCUGCCUUUGGGUUUGUUGUGCUCAACAUGAUCU